rnacentral:rRNA from 1 species
GAACGCUGGCGGCAGGCCUAACACAUGCAAGUCGAGCGGUAGCACAGAGAGCUUGCUCUCGGGUGACGAGCGGCGGACGGGUGAGUAAUGUCUGGGAAACUGCCUGAUGGAGGGGGAUAACUACUGGAAACGGUAGCUAAUACCGCAUAAUGUCGCAAGACCAAAGUGGGGGACCUUCGGGCCUCAUGCCAUCAGAUGUGCCCAGAUGGGAUUAGCUAGUAGGUGGGGUAACGGCUCACCUAGGCGACGAUCCCUAGCUGGUCUGAGAGGAUGACCAGCCACACUGGAACUGAGACACGGUCCAGACUCCUACGGGAGGCAGCAGUGGGGAAUAUUGCACAAUGGGCGCAAGCCUGAUGCAGCCAUGCCGCGUGUGUGAAGAAGGCCUUCGGGUUGUAAAGCACUUUCAGCGGGGAGGAAGGCGUUAAGGUUAAUAACCUUGGCGAUUGACGUUACCCGCAGAAGAAGCACCGGCUAACUCCGUGCCAGCAGCCGCGGUAAUACGGAGGGUGCAAGCGUUAAUCGGAAUUACUGGGCGUAAAGCGCACGCAGGCGGUCUGUCAAGUCGGAUGUGAAAUCCCCGGGCUCAACCUGGGAACUGCAUUCGAAACUGGCAGGCUAGAGUCUUGUAGAGGGGGGUAGAAUUCCAGGUGUAGCGGUAAAAUGCGUAGAGAUCUGGAGGAAUACCGGUGGCGAAGGCGGCCCCCUGGACAAAGACUGACGCUCGGGUGCGAAAGCGUGGGGAGCAAACAGGAUUAGAUACCCUGGUAGUCCACGCCGUAAACGAUGUCGAUUUGGAGGUUGUGCCCUUGAGGCGUGGCUUCCGGAGCUAACGCGUUAAAUCGACCGCCUGGGGAGUACGGCCGCAAGGUUAAAACUCAAAUGAAUUGACGGGGGCCCGCACAAGCGGUGGAGCAUGUGGUUUAAUUCGAUGCAACGCGAAGAACCUUACCUGGUCUUGACAUCCACAGAACUUUCCAGAGAUGGAUUGGUGCCUUCGGGAACUGUGAGACAGGUGCUGCAUGGCUGUCGUCAGCUCGUGUUGUGAAAUGUUGGGUUAAGUCCCGCAACGAGCGCAACCCUUAUCCUUUGUUGCCAGCGGUUCGGCCGGGAACUCAAAGGAGACUGCCAGUGAUAAACUGGAGGAAGGUGGGGAUGACGUCAAGUCAUCAUGGCCCUUACGACCAGGGCUACACACGUGCUACAAUGGCAUAUACAAAGAGAAGCGACCUCGCGAGAGCAAGCGGACCUCAUAAAGUAUGUCGUAGUCCGGAUUGGAGUCUGCAACUCGACUCCAUGAAGUCGGAAUCGCUAGUAAUCGUAGAUCAGAAUGCUACGGUGAAUACGUUCCCGGGCCUUGUACACACCGCCCGUCACACCAUGGGAGUGGGUUGCAAAAGAAGUAGGUAGCUUAACCUUCGGGAGGGCGCUUACCACUUUGUGAUUCAUGACUGGGGUGA